rnacentral:rRNA from 1 species
GAUGAACGCUGGCGGCGUGCCUAAUACAUGCAAGUAGAACGCUGAAGGAGGAGCUUGCUCUUCUGGAUGAGUUGCGAAUGGGUGAGUAACGCGUAGGUAACCUGCCUGGUAGCGGGGGAUAACUAUUGGAAACGAUAGCUAAUACCGCAUAACAGUAGAUAUUGCAUGAUAUCUGCUUGAAAGGGGCAAUUGCUCCACUACCAGAUGGACCUGCGUUGUAUUAGCUAGUUGGUGAGGUAACGGCUCACCAAGGCGACGAUACAUAGCCGACCUGAGAGGGUGAUCGGCCACACUGGGACUGAGACACGGCCCAGACUCCUACGGGAGGCAGCAGUAGGGAAUCUUCGGCAAUGGACGGAAGUCUGACCGAGCAACGCCGCGUGAGUGAAGAAGGUUUUCGGAUCGUAAAGCUCUGUUGUAAGAGAAGAACGAGUGUGAGAGUGGAAAGUUCACACUGUGACGGUAACUACCAGAA